CGAGUGCAAUCCGAUUAAUUUGCGCUGAAACGCUGACAGUUUUUUUACUAGUGAACGACUGACGUUUGACAUUCGAUUGAGAGAGUUCUGUGUUCCAUUUAUUUAUGUUUUUAUUCUUUGUUUAUAUAAUUUAUAACCUAGACAGUUUUGUUUUUAAAUGAAACUGAAACUGUGUCUAAACUAAAAUGGAUAAUAUUCUUGAAGAAUUUUUGUUUGGGGACGAAAUUAGCAAAUGCCGUUAUACAUUUAGCAGAUGUACCUACCUCAAAUUAUUCCAAAAGGAUGAGAUGACAUUAAAUAUAUAUAAACCAUAAUUCAAUAUCCAAUUUAGAGAACAUUUUCGUAUGUCCAGAACUACUUUCCAGGAACUAUUUAAUUGUAUUGAUCAUAUCCACCAAUUUGAAAACAGAAUAAUUCUAUUGGAAAAAAUUAAUGUUUAUGAUUUGGAUGCUAAGUAAACCAGAGAAUUUGUUGCUGGGGAUACGUUUGGUUUGCCAAAGAGCUCUGGACAUAAGAUUUUCACCCAAAUAAUAUAGAAUUACAAAAAAUUGGAAAUAACUAAUCUUGAAUAUCAAUGUGUAUAUUGAGUUUAAUUUUAUUGUAAAUAUUCUAUAAUAUAAUUUUAUUGUAAAUAUUGUAUUAACACAUUUGUGGACACAUCUUUAUAUGCAGACAGUAAUUUCCCUUUGUAAGUACAUGCAUAUAUAGUCGUAUCUGCGAAUGGGUUAAUUGUAAAUCGUAAUCAAUAAAAAAAUUUUGUGAAUCAAUAAAAAACUGGUUUGUUUGAAAAUAAAUGUAGUACAAAUGUGGUCAUAAUAUUUAUUUUCAUGCUUAGAUAAAAACUAAAUGUAUUGUAACACAACCUUUCAUAUAUCUUCCUCCUCCAUUGUUAAGCAGAAUUUGUUAACAAGAAUUGUCCCUCCAUUCUUUUUUUAAUAACAGGAAUUUCUUCCUUAGCGUUCCUAGUAUUUGGUUGUGGCUCUAAAAUUGCAUUUGUUUCACUGAGAGCAUCUAAAAGGUCUCUCAAUCCUUAUUUCGUUUGACAUAGCCAUACUCGUAGAAAUAAUUCUAUCUGUAUUGAUGGUAUUAUCAGAGAACAACGAACACAUGGUGGUCUUCAGAGUGCUCCCAACCAACAGUACCUUAUGCUGCUGCGUUUUCUUUUACUGUUUUAACCCUUAUCCGGGCAAGUGGGGCUCAAUAGGCCCGAAACGCCAUGUCUUUUAUAUGGAAGUAAAAUGUCUUGCCCGGAUAAGUAUUAAAGUGAGCUUUCUCGUUUCAGAAUUUUUUAUCGAAUACAGCUUCAAGAUAACGUAACCAUGCAAAAUAAUUAUUUUUUCCCUUUAUAGGAUGCCAGCAACAACUUUGUAAUGUAAGAUUGCUUGGAAAUGUGCUUCUGUAUGAGCAUCAUAAAGGGAUGUCUACGCAUUCCCAGUUUAUCUCAAGAGUUAGUUGGUUGAGAUCAAAGAAUCUUAUUAAAAAAUAGAUUAUAUCUCCCUCUAGUUCUUUUUUCAUAGUACUUAUAUUAAAUUUGGAGUAAGCCUAAUUCCAUGAAAUGACAACAAAUAAUAUGAUUGUAAAUAGUUUUGAAAAAGCUGUUUAAACUGUAUAAUUAAAUUUUUUUAAAACGUCUACUUUUAAAAAUUUCGUACCUAGGCCUGGAUCACGCAUACCAAAAAAAA
rnacentral:lncRNA from 1 species